UGGGGAAUUUUGGACAAUGGGCGAAAGCCUGAUCCAGCAAUGCCGCGUGUGUGAAGAAGGCCUUCGGGUUGUAAAGCACUUUUGUCCGGAAAGAAAUCCUUGGCUCUAAUACAGUCGGGGGAUGACGGUACCGGAAGAAUAAGCACCGGCUAACUACGUGCCAGCAGCCGCGGUAAUACGUAGGGUGCAAGCGUUAAUCGGAAUUACUGGACGUAAAGCGUGCGCAGGCGGUUUGCUAAGACCGAUGUGAAAUCCCCGGGCUCAACCUGGGGAACUGCAUUGGUGACUGGCAGGCUAGAGUAUGGCAGAGGGGGGUAGAAUUCCACGUGUAGCAGUGAAAUGCGUAGAGAUGUGGAGGAAUACCGAUGGCGAAGGCAGCCCCCUGGGCCAAUACUGACGCUCAUGCACGAAAGCGUGGGGAGCAAACAGGAUUAGAUACCCUGGUAGUCCACGCCCUAAACGAUGUCAACUAGUUGUUGGGGAUUCAUUUCCUUAGUAACGUAGCUAACGCGUGAAGUUGACCGCCUGGGGAGUACGGUCGCAAGAUUAAAACUCAAAGGAAUUGACGGGGUCAUAGCUGUUUCCU
rnacentral:rRNA from 1 species